rnacentral:lncRNA from 1 species
CCAGCUAAUUUUUGUAUUUUUAGGAGAGACGGUUUUGCCAUGUUGACCAGGCUGGUCUUGAACUCCUGGCCUCAAGUGAUAUACCUGACUCAGCCUCCCAAAGUGCUAGGAUUACAGACGUGAGCCACCAUGUCCGGCCUCCUUGGUUGCUUUUUAACAGCAAAUAAUCUUUUUUUUUUUUCCAAGUUGUGUGCUUUCUCCAAAUUU